GACGAACGCUGGUGGCGUGCUUAACACAUGCAAGUCGAACGGGAUUUAGUAAACAGAAGCCUCGGUGGAAGAUUACUAAUGAGAGUGGCGAACGGGUGAGUAACGCGUGAGCAACCUGCCUAUGACAGUGGGAUAGCCUCGGGAAACCGGGAUUAAUACCGCAUAAAAUCGUAGAAACACAUGUUUUAACGGUCAAAGAUUUAUCGGUCAUAGAUGGGCUCGCGUCUGAUUAGCUAGUUGGUGAGAUAACAGCCCACCAAGGCGACGAUCAGUAGCCGGUCUGAGAGGAUGAACGGUCACAUUGGAACUGAGACACGGUCCAAACUCCUACGGGAGGCAGCAGUGGGGAAUAUUGCACAAUGGGGGAAACCCUGAUGCAGCGACGCCGCGUGGACGAAGAAGGUAUUCGUAUCGUAAAGUUCUGUCCUAUGGGAAGAUAAUGACAGUACCAUAGAAGAAAGCUCCGGCUAAAUACGUG
rnacentral:rRNA from 1 species